AAGUCACCCCUUAGACUACAACUCCCAAUAAGCACAGCAGAAAAGACACUGUGCUUCAUUUUGUACAAAGGUCAGCAAAUACAACACGCCGAUUGCACUCGCUUGAUCAGCAGCAUGGGUCGGCUUGAUGGGAAGGUCAUACUGCUGUCAGCAGCAGCACAGGGGAUUGGACAAGCAGCUGCUAUAGCUUUUGCAAAAGAAGGAGCCAAAGUCAUUGCUACAGACAUCAAUGAGCCUAAGCUGCAAGAGCUGGAGAAACAUCCAGGUAAAUGACCUACAGUAGUUGUUGGUUCAGCUCUUGCAAGUUUUGGUGUAGAAUGGCUGAAAUCUAACUUGAAGAUAGGGCAAACUUCAAAAGACC